CGUGACCUGUGUUGGACUUAAUGUGACAACAAGCGUCAAGGAUUCAAGAACAGACUGCACACCACAGCCUGAUAAAAAUUAUACUGAUUGGUAAACAAAAAGGAUGGAAGACACUGAAUAUCUUUAAAAAUGAAGGUGCUGAAGAGGCCAACCCUGCACAACAAGAACAU